CCUACGGGUGGCAGCAGUGAGGAAUAUUGGUCAAUGGGCGUAAGCCUGAACCAGCCAAGUCGCGUGAGGGAUUAAGGCCCUAUGGGUCGUAAACCUCUUUUGUCAGGGAGCAAGGUCUUCCACGUGUGGGCUUAUGGAUAUUCCCUGCAGAAAAAGCAUCGGCUAACUCCGUGCCAGCAGCCCCGUUAAUACGGGGGAUGCAAGGGUUAUCCGGAUUUUUUGGGUUUAAAGGGUGCGUAGGCGGGAUGUUAAGUCAGGGGUAAAAUUGCGGGGUUCAACGCCGUAGAGCCGUUGAAACUGGGGGGCUGGAGUGAGUGAGAAGUAGGCGGAAUGCGUGGUGUAGCGGUGAAAUGCAUAGAUAUCACGCAGAACCCCGAUUGCGAAGGCAACAUACCGGCGCUCAACUGACGCUGAGGCACGAAAGUGUGGGUAUCGAACAGGAUUAGAUACCCUAGUAGUC
rnacentral:rRNA from 1 species